rnacentral:rRNA from 1 species
AUGCCACAGGCCCGCGGCGACUGGUGGUGGCCCGCUGGAGUUCCCUGUCUGGAAUGGCAACAGUGGGGGCCCGCCGCCUGCGGGUGCGCCCGGAAACAGCCAUUGCGCAGGGUGGCCGUAGGUGGCGAUCGGCGCAGCCGGCGGGAGGCCGUACGCGCCUGCCAUGUACUGGUGGUAUUGGUGCAUGUGGAGCCCUUGGACGGCCGUCACGAGCUGCUGCUGCGUGCUACACCGUGGAUCACAAUCGCAACCUUCUGUUCACCUGUACAAGGGAUGAGCCCCAAAUUCUCACUCAACAGUUUUAUCCAAGGUGGUGGUGCCUCUGUUGCUCAACAUGGACACAUGCAUCUGGCUAGCAUGAGUGCUUCAUUUUUGAAGUUGACUGGCCCAUGUCGCCCGAUUGCGUUCAUCGACCCUGUUGACUUUGAAAUUCAACUAAAAGUGAAGGGCACAACAGAGUGUGAAGAUGAAACACUGAUGGCGCGAUGGUUUGAAUAUGCGCAUGGUUUUGGAGAUUAUGGUGAGCUUGCCUGUCGUCGUUGGGGAGGCAAUUUUUGCACACUAGAGAUCACCUCUGCGCUACUUGCCAGAACGGUUGUAGCAACUAUUAUCUCUGCUGAUAUUAUUGAAGGGUCAUGGCCUGAUGAUUCUAGAGGUCGUGUGGUUGCCCGUACUGCUGCCAUAGAUGAGGACAUUCUGCUGCUUGACUCUGGAGAAGAACCAUUGAAAGUGGAUCCAGACGGUCGCGUUACCCUUCAAAGAGGUGUUGUUUGCGUGGAACGUCAGGGGAUGCUCACGGUUUCUAUGGAAGCCUACUCGAAGGAAGGUAUUUGUUAUGCAGAUUCUGUUGAAUUCAGGCCCAAAAAGUCUCUCACAAGUAUCGGUAUUUGCGACCUUGGAUUCUGCACGGUGCAGUUUAUUGUUGGUUGGUCGCCAAUGGCGACGAAGUCUGAUCUGAUGUACUUUGGCAACUGA